UUUGAAAUAAUUAAUUAAAGAUGAAACUAUAUAUAAUUUAAUUUAUUUGUUUUAUUAUGGUCAACAAACUUUCCGUACUAUGCGUCUAACAGAGCCAGACGGCUGGCUCUCCCCCCCAACACAAUUCCCUACAGUCGCCAUAUUGAAUUUUUAUUUUCAACAAAACAAAGGGACGGUCAAACUCAGUUCAUCAUUGAAACAGUCUAAAUACGCUAAAUUAGGUGAAUUUUAACAAGUCAAAGCUGCAGUAUAGACCCCGUGAAUCAAGCUUAGAUAUGUGCGUGCAGGAAAAACAAAGAAUUCAAGAAGAAGAAAAAAUGGAGAAAACCGUAUUUUUCAAGUCAAUAACGAGUGAUUCAAUACUAAAGACAAUCUUGAAGCGUGAGACGCGGGACACGUUUAUAAAAGCCUAAUUUAGACCUAGAUUUUAAAUUUAACUUAUUUAUUGUAUAAUUGAUAAAAAAGAUAAUUCUAAUAAUUCGAGACUGAAUUCAAAAAGAAGAAAGUAGAAGUAAAAAGAAAAAUGAAGCUUUUAGAGAAUUCUGGGAUAGAAGCCAUCAAUAAUCUUCUCUGUCUGGAGACUGGGGAUUCAAAGAUCGUUGGAAGGAUUGAGAGUUACUCCUGCAAGAUGAUCGGAGCAGAGAAACAACAAUAUAAAAAGUUCUCUGUUGGACGGGAUCCACAAGCUGUAGAAGCCCUGUCUCCUCCUACUAAUGGAUACGGUGGAUACGCUUUCUCAACCUCGCCGGUAAGUCGAUCCUACUCCCGGAGCUCCGGGUCGGAGGAUGAGGGUGUUGGGAUUCUCUGUGAUACGAUUGCCAGGAAAACCCUGUUCCAUCUUAUCUCAACCCUCAACGCUGCGUUCCCAGAUUAUGAUUUCACCGACGCGAGAUCAUCUGAGUUCACAAAGGAACCAAAUCUUCAGUUUGUGACGAGCAACGUGGACAAUUUACUGAGUGUUGCUGCGAGCUCCCUCUACAGUAAGAUCCACGACAAGCUGUGGAUAACUCUGAACCAGGAGAUUAAUCUCGUAGAUUGUGAGAUCUACUCAUACAACCCAGAUCUUACAUCAGAUCCAUUCGGAGAAGAAGGUUCCUUGUGGAGCUUCAACUACUUCUUCUUCAACAAGAAGCUGAAGAGGGUGGUUCUGUUCACCUGUAGGGCACUCUCUCCCUAUAGCCAGGAGUACUAUGAGACUGGGAUGAGUUGUGAGGAGGAUAUGGAGUAUUCUUACUAAUCCUGGCUCCUGGAUCCGUCACAGAUCCACCCAUCCAUCCUAGGCAUCUAUAUACCCCGUCUAGGGAUAACACAAAGCACAUUCAUAUAUUCUCCUGUAUAUAUUGUAAUUAUAUAGUAUUAGAACUCUUCCUCCAGUCCAGGACGCAAAAAAUAUGAUUUGUGUUUGAUGUUAAUCUUUAACUUUAAUCCGUUCUUAUUUUAAGCUCUGUCUGGCCUGGAGAAAAGUAUUUACCCUCUUCCCUAGAUCUCCCUAAUUUACAGUCAGAAAACUAUAUAUUUUAUAUAAAACGUGAUAAAAACAAAAACAAAAAGUUCUUUCACUAUUUACUAAUUAAUACUUUCAGUUGUAUAUAUAUACUCUUCCUCUACAAGAACAAGGUUUGAAGUGAAUUUAACACGAACUUACAAAACCAGCGCUCUAACCCACAGCAGAGACAUUAAAAAAAGUGAGAAAGUGAAACAUGAUGAAUACUCUCGCGACUCAAACCAAACCUCAUCAUUGUCAUCUCUACAGUACAACAAUCCCCAGUAGACUUGGAGCAGGUUCGAACCUGCUCUUUCUCAGGGAUUGAUCUUAUAGUGAUCAAAGACACUUUGGUGAUUCAUCACUAAGUGCCAGGUGUAAAUUGAUAAGAAUCAUUCUCCUCCGAGGGAAUGAUUCGUUGCUAAGGAUGCUCUAGGCUAAACCUUGAACCUCUAACCCAGAACCGUCCCGGCAGGUUGGAUCCUUGUGAUUUCUAGCUUAUAGAUAUCCGUCCAACAUCAGGCCAGGUUUCGGAUCCUCUCAUUACAUACUAUUUAUGUAGAUAGGAUCGUGUACCUAGAGUAGGUUGCCUUGCUCCUUAAACUUUCUGAGUUUGGGUUUCUCUGCAACCCUGACUCUGUUUCUCCGACCAGGACGCAUCUUGUUGAGUUUUAUUGUAUCCUCUUAUGUAUUGUUGCAGCCUAGGUAUGAUAUCAACAGAAUGUGCAAAUAAAUAUAAAGUAUUUUAAAA
rnacentral:misc_RNA from 1 species